UGUGGACGUCGACUUGAGGAAGUUCAUAGGAGGGCGGUGAUGGGAAACGUAGGCCGGUCUUCGUGGCCGACGAGGUUCCACGAGAGCGCUUGGGAAGCCUCGCCGGUUCUCUGAUGAGCCGCUGAGAUGUGUCACCGGCAACUCCAAACUGAGGUGAAAAGAGAACACAAAGUUAUUAAAGCAAGCCAUGAAGAUACCAAAAUUAUAUUAUGCUUUUGGGAUCUUUGGAUGUGCGAUUAUUAUUGCUGCUUAUGUGAAAUGGAAUGACCUCAAACCAGUACAGGAAACAAUGGAAGAUGCUGCUCUUGAUGUGGAAAACCAACUCUAUAGUGAGCCAUCAGAAAUGAAUCAAGUAGUUCUUUAUGGAAUUAUGUUUGAUGCUGGAAGUACUGGAACUCGAAUACACAUAUUCAAGUUUACCCAAAACCCAAAAGCAGAAAUUCCUAAAGUAAUUGACGAAACCUUCAGAGCAUUGAAGCCAGGUCUGUCUGCCUAUGCUGACAAUGUUAACAAGAGUGCUCAAGGAAUAAAUGAGCUACUUGCAGUUGCUAAAGAAGUUGUUCCUAUGGCAUUAUGGAAAUCCACCCCUUUAGUCCUUAAAGCAACAGCUGGUUUAAGGCUACUACCAGGAAAAAAGGCACAUGAAUUGCUGGAUAAGGUAAAGGAAAUUUUUCGAGCAUCUCCAUUCUUUGUAAAGGAUGACUGUGUCUCCAUAAUGGAAGGAACAGAUGAAGGUAUUUCCGCAUGGAUCACUGUCAACUUUUUAACAGGUGGCUUAAAUGAUCCAACAAAUAAAAGUAUAGGAAUGCUGGAUUUAGGAGGUGGAUCAACACAGAUCACAUUUCAUGCAAGCACUGAGACAACUGUGGGGGUGUCAUCUGCUAGCGACAUCAUUUCGUUUCAGAUGUUUAACCAGAUGUACCAACUGUAUUCUCACAGUUACUUGGGCCUUGGAUUAAUGUCGGCAAGGCUGGCAGUGUUAGGAGGGGUCCAGGGACAAGCCUUAAAGGAAGAUGAAGAAUUGACAAGUCCCUGUUCAUCUCCUGAUUUUCAGGGUGAAUGGGAGCAUGCCAAGAUACUGUACAAAAUUAAAGGGCAGAAGGCAGGAAAGCCUCUCUAUGAAUCAUGUUUUGAUGAAGUAGCAAAAAUACUCAACCAGAAGGUUCACAGGACACCUGAAGUAAAGGAUUUAGAGUUUUAUGCAUUUUCCUAUUAUUAUGACUUGGCUACAGAUAUUCGUUUAAUAGAUAAUGAAGAAGGGGGAACUCUGACUGUCAAAGACUUUGAAACUGCUGCAAAGAAUGCAUGUGACAACAUGGAGGCUCACCAAGGAGAUCAUCCAUUCCUCUGCAUGGAUCUCACUUAUGUCAGUUUGCUAUUGCAAGAACUGGGCUUUCCAAAGAACCACAUUCUUAAGCUUGUUCGAAAAAUCAACAACUUUGAAACUGGCUGGGCUCUGGGAGCUACACUUCACUACAUGGAUUCACUUUACAAACUGCAAUAUUAAUUGUCCAGACGCCAAAAACUUAUACCUGGAAGAAGAAAAUGCAGAGGUAAACAAGCAUGUGUUGCUGAUUUCUUAGCUUCUGCUUCCAGACUAUAUAAGACUUGUGCGGCCUUUUCUUUCAUUGAGAAAUUCAUGUGUCACAAUUCUGGUGACUUGGAUCAUACUUUUUUUUUUUUAAGUGUUGUUCAAAAUUAGUGAUUCUUCAGUGAAAAAUUAGGCAUUGACAUCCAAAACCGAAAUCCUGAGCAGCAUUUCCAGGGUCAGACAAGCUGAAUGUAGACACCAGGUAAUUCAUGAGGAACAGGAUUUGAAUCCAAUUGCACCUUAGAAACCAACAAAAUUUUCAGGCUAUAAGUUUUCGAGAGUCAAAGCUGCCUUUUUCAGAUACAAAUCCUGCUGUUCUACUGCAGACCAACAGGGCUACCUUCCAUAAACUGUAAAUCAUGAGGAGAAUUCAUGUCUUCUGACUUGUCUUCUUUGAAAAAAGCACAUCUGCUCUUGCUGCUAAAUACUGAACUAGUGUCAGAUACUCACUCCUCAAGUGUGAUUUUAAUAAUGAAUAUUUUUGGUUGUUAAGGGAUUUUGUGAUUCUCUUUAACUAUAAAAACAAAUGUGUUUGGUAUGGGUGUGUAUGUGUUGAAAAGUGCAUUCUUUUGCUUAGUCUAACUUUUUUGAUACAUGUUGAGAUCACGUUUGAAAGCCAUUCUCCACCCCCCCUUUUCUGUACACCAUAUGAUUGAGGAUGUAAUCCUAAAUACAUUUACUCAGAAUAAGGCUUGUUGAGCUUAGUGGGCUUUAUUUCUGAUUAUAUAUGUUCAGGAUUGCGCUGUGGGGCACCAGGUUAUUUUGGAGGGAGUGUGCAGGUUUAAAAAUAAAACCACAAACUGAGGUGUUUGUCUUCUGUUGUUCUUGUGGGUGGUGAUUGCUAGAAUGUUAAUAGACAUGGGAGAUUGACAUGCCAGUCUUUUGCAGAAAUCCCUAUAAAUAUAGCCUCUCUAAUACAAAAAAUUAAUUCAGCCAGACAUCUUAAUGGGUCAGUGACUUUUGUAACAAUGUCAGGGUCCUGUGAUUAUGUUUGAAAUCUCUGAGGUUUGGAAGGCUGGUUGUAAUAAACACAGAACCAGAAAGUUUUAAGGGGGUUCGUGCUGGGUCUACUUGAAUCCCAUGCAAAAUAUCAAAAGGGGAGGACUCAGAAAGGGAACUCAUCUCUGGCACAGUUCAUCAAAACAUAAUUUAGCACAGUGAGUACUGGUUAUGGACUUAUGCACAAUAACUAUGCCCUGGUUAUCCUGGUUAAUACUGGGUUGUCAAGGUAAAGAGAUGGCGUCCAGUUCUGCCUCUAAUAUUCAAAAUGAGUUUUAUAUGUGAUCCAACACUGCAUCCUUAAUUUCCCGCAGUGUGUGGUACAAUGAAUUUCUUCCCCUUUUGUUGAAGUUCUGGAGGUAAAUAAAAAGUUGAAUCGCUUAAGCAGCAUUCUGUUAGAAUGAAAUGCGAAAAGGAUCAAAGUAUGACUCAGUCUGGGCACAGUAAAAGCCCAAAUCAGCCCUGGAUUAGUGAAACGCUGGGAUGUGGCAGAACUUGUUUCGUGGACUAUAUAUUACCCAACCACCUGGAAAAUGCUUGUGGGGCUGAAAGUAAAAUUUAAUGAACUUCUAUACCCUUCUCUCAUCUGAUGCCUUCUUUAUGUGUAUUUGCAGCUUUAGAAUAUACACUGCACAAAACUGGCACCAUACUGGAUUGAUAACAUGGGAUAAUCAAUAUCCCAAUAGAAAAGCUCCCUGUAUUUUUUUAGGAUGAUCAUAUUCUUCUCUUACAAAAUGCAUUUCAGUACUGUACUCUUCUGAAUACCCAGAAGUAGCUUGAAGAUUUGACAAGAAAAAUGUGAUUUUUUUCAUUAUUAAUACGUGAAGCCUGAGCAUUAUACAGAUGUGAAUUUUAUAGGGAAUUUGAGUGUUUACAAGGCUUUUUGAGCUAUCAAGGAGAACUUCAUUUUAAAUGGUGUUUGUAAAGUACCACCAUACGGGCAUUGUCUUUCUUUUAAUAAAUCAAUGUAUCAUUGUUGCACUAAGCAAAGAUUACAGAAAUCUGGACUUUUCUGCAAGACAAGGCAAGAAGUGGGCAAGAUGUGCUUUGAAGUUGCAUUUAUGAAGAUGCUUGUCAUGGAGAGAGAACUGGUGUGGAAAGGGGGAAAGGCUGCUGGUAGACCAGCAGUCUAAUAUAUAUUCAGUGAAGCACUUCAUCUUGCAGUAUGAAGUAUCUGGUCUACAGGCUACUAUAUAGUUAACAGAGCAAUCCUAAGCAGAGUUACUCCAGUCUAAGCCCAUGGGCUUAAACUGGAGUAGCUCUGUUUAGGAUUGCAAUGUUAUGUCUUUUUGGUACACAACAGAUGGCUUGUAACCACAAACUCUCUUGAUUGGGAAAUUAAACAAAUGACAUAGCUCUGUACAGUGUUUGAUUGUUGUUGGCUUGUCCAUUGAAGCAACGUGUGUGUAAAUGUAAACUGGACAUUCAAAACACAAUAUGUCAAUAAAAAUUAAUUCCAAAUUG